GCCAAAUUCUUCCAUUUCAGGGCAUUGUUUUUAAUCUCUUUUAAUCCAUCACUUCCCAUCACUUUCCCUAUGCAAUCCUCCAGGACUUCUCUUCUCACAAUCCCCUUGUCGUCCGCUCGAGCUCUUAAUCCUACCCCGCAAACAUCUUCAACAAACUUGGCGUUGGUGGGUUGAUCAAUCCAUAGAGGGGCAACCACCAUUGGAACUCCCAGGCUGAGUGCCUCCAGAGUGGAGUUCCAACCGCCAUGGGUGAGGAAGCAUCCUAUCGCCCUGUGUGCUAAAACCUCCAGCUGAGGACACCAUGAUACCACCAGGCCCUUCUCUGCUGUCUCCUCCUUGAACUUUUGAGGCAGUUUGGCCUGCUCAGAUUCCCUGACCACCAUCAAGAAGUAGGCAUUGCUCCUCCUCAAACCCCAAGCUAAUUCCUCCAUUUGCUCGGGUUCUAGCUUUGCGAAGCUCCCGUAUGAGGCGUAAACAACGGAUCCAUUAGGCUUACUGUCAAGCCAUUCCAUGCAGGCACCUGUGACUGGCUUGAGCAUGUUAAGGCCAUAGUCUUUGUCAUCUCCAAGCCGUUUAUCUAAGUAAGCAGAGGGAAGGGUUGGGCCGAUUGUCCUGAGCGGACAGAUCUUCGCCAUCCAAUCCACCACCUGGGGAUUCAAUGGCAAACUUAGAUUAACAAAAGAGUAUCAAAUGCUUAAUUUGACCCAAAAGAUUAAGCCAUUAGCUAUUGGGUCGAUCAUCUCAAACAGGACUUUUCCUUACCCUGAUAAACCUUUUAUUUGACCCAAAAGAGAAACUAUGAAGUAAUGAGUCAAUAAAUGUCUCAACCUAAAAGCUUAAGCUCCAGCAGGGACUUUUCCUUCUAACAUCGUCCUCCUUUUUAAUAGGAAAAGCUUAAACUGUUAGAUAAUAAGUACCCUAGAAUGUACAUGUAGCCAACUUAGAUGAAGUACCUUACCUUUUCCUCUAACUUGUAGAAGGUGUUGCAGAACACCCAGUCUACCUUCUCAAUAUUGGAGAACUGAUUCACAAGCAUGUUGAAGAAAUCCGGGUAGGAGCCAUAAAGAUAAACAAGAGAUGGCAGGUCACAGGCUUGAAGAGGGAACAAUCCAGGAACCACAACUUCAGGCUCUGAAAGAGGAAGCGUGAGCAUACCCUGGUGGACAUGGUAGUAUAUGUUGUUGACCGUACAAGACUGAGUGAAAAACACAGCCCCCACAAGCCCAAACUUCUUGGCAACAUCAAGAGCCCAAGGCAAGAAUGCAUCAUACACAACACAAUCAACUGGACACCCUGAGCUUUUGAGCUUCUCAAUGAGGCUGCCCAGGGUUUCUGAGCCAACCACCCGAAACCGCUCCAUGUAGGCGCCACCACUUUCCGCUUGGGCGAAGCCACCUUCAUCAUAUCCAUCAGAGAUGGUCUCAAUGGUGAUGGGACCGGAGUCUCCGAGCAAGGACUUGGAGAUAAAGCAUGUAGGAACCAGUGUGACUUUGGCCCCAUUGUGUACCAAACGCUUGGAGAAUUGGAGCAUAGGGUUUAUGUGGCCUUGGCUUGGAUAUGGGAGGACUAUGCAGUGAGAUUUGUGGGUUCUCUUCUCCUUCUCCAUAUUCCUUCAAAUCUUCACACACUCUUGAGCUCUUGCUCUCUUCUUGUUUUACUUAUAAAUGGAAAAUCAUCCCUCCAACCAUGGGUUUUUUUUUUUUUUGGUUUUCCUAAUCAAAGAAUUGAAUCUCAUUUUCUACUUAAAAGAGCUCAAAAUGCAAGGUCAAAGAUAAGCAUACAAUAGAAUGAGAUCCAAACUUGAGUAAUUAUUAAUUUAUAUAUAUAUAUAUAUAUAUAUAUAUAUAUAUAUAUAACUUUUCCAUAAAAUGCAACAUUUAGUAUAUUAAUUUUAUAUUCCAGCUAUAUAUUUAAAGUGUUCCUUUUCAAUACAAACACUACCCUAUGACAUCUGACAACUUGUUUGACAAGAAAGUUAAAAGUAUGCCAUCUUCUUUGUUAAAUAAAUAUGGAGAUGGUGAAACUAAAAAAGGGUUGUGACUUGUGAGGGGGUCUUGUGGCUAUCAGUGUUAGAGUUAUUUAUUUAGUAAUAUCAAGUAGCUUUAUUUAGUUACUAUUUAGUUUUGUUUAGUUACUAUUUUUCUUUCUUAUUUAAUUACUAUAUUAGAAUUAUUCUCUUUCUUUUUUAGGUUUUAUUAGGUCUAUUUAAAUCCUAAUAGAGUUGUAUCUUUUUUUUUUUCAAGAGAAUUCAUAAUGAGAAAUCCUAGAUUUUCUUUUCUCUCUCUCUUUUUUUUUUUUUUUUAAUCUUUUUUUGAAUUUCAACAACUAGUUAUUGAAUGUUUGCUAAUUUGUUACCAAUUUUAUUAAUUAACAAGUUUGGAGUAUAUGGGUAGGCUGUAGGCAUGACAUGUGAUUGUUGUCAUCAAUGAUGUGUGUAGAGAAGUGGACAUGUGAGGGUGAGAUUGUUCAUAGCUUCUAUCCUCCAAGAUGUCCAACCUAUGUAUGCAUACUAUUUUGAGAGGGAUAUUCUUUCCCCCUAAGAUAAGAAUAUACAUAUUUUUUAGUUGUUUGCAUUUAUAUACCUUCUUUUUUCUUUUACUUUUUCUUUAUAUAAUUUGUACAUGAAUUGUUGGACGUCAUUUGUUGUACCUCGGAGGGCUUUUUUGACUCUAUGCUAGUCAGGGGCAUCACAGAGUGACCUCCCUAGGAUUCGAACUUGGGUCCUUAGAUCUUUGUGUGGCCCUCUUGGUACCAUCUUGGCUACAUGAAUGACUAGCUAGUACUUUGGUUUAAUAUUUUGUCCUUUUGCAAGUUGAGCAUAGACUGCAAAACUAUUGUUAGAUCAAGGGUAUGAUUUGGGAGUUUUGGGGAGUGAUUAUAUGAGGUUGGGAAUAUUUUCUAAUAUUCCAAAAAGUUUUUUAUUGAAGGAAGUUCAGAGUUAAUUCCAAAUUUUCCAUUAAUGUAUUAUAUUUGGAAUCUACAAAUAAUAUUUGGUUCUCUCCACAUGAAUAUAUUUAGGCUUAUUAUUUAUGUUAUUUUUGGUCAAUUUUUAUCAUGAAAAUACUCGGGAAGACAUUGAGGAUGAAUUUGGAGAUGAAUGGAGGAUGAAAACUCGAAAAAGGGUGGGGGCAAAGGGGGAGGAGAUUGAUGGCAUUGUUCAAAACCCCGACAACCCAUAGGCGAUAGAGCAUCGACUCCUUGGGGGACCAUCAACACUAUUUAGACCUCAAAUGAUAAACCUCAACAAUCUAUCCUACAAUAGAGUAUUGGCUAAAAGAUAGUUGUCUAGCUCCUUGGCAUUGCACACCUUGGAGCCAUCCAAAUCCUUGGUAUCGAACGUCUUAUAGUCAUCUAUCUCCUUAAAGCUGCGUCCCUUGGAGUUGUAAGAAAUAGGUGAGUGUGUAUUAAGUUGUAAGGGCACUUUAGGCUUUGUAUUAGGGGUAUUUUGGUCCUUAAAAAGAGCAUGGCUGAGAUGGUGGAGCAUAUAAAUAAAAACAAGUAAAUGUUAGCUGAGUAUACUCUCCAAAUCCAUCAUCAAUACACAAAAAGCGCGGCAAGGCCAUGUAUUUCAGGAAUCGAAUUGAACACCAGUAAGUUUCUAUAAAUCCAAAAUUAAACCAUAAUUUUUCGACAUCACACAGAUCAUAAAAACGAAUAAAAAUCCGAAAUUCAGAAGCAGAUCGAGAAACCAUCCCCCAAAAACAUCGCAGACCAAAUCAAACCAAGCCAAUUUGCACAAAGAAGAGCACAAAGUCGAGAACCAAAAAUCAUCAAAUCAUUCCAGUAAAUAAAACACACAAAAUCAGAGCCAGACUGCGAAUCGAAAUCAACACGUGCACGGAUUACCAAAAAAAUACCGAAAUAAACAAAUACAAAAUUGGGGAUCUUGGAGAAGCGGGUAGGAUCGAGAGAUGCAGAGAAGAAAUCAGGGUUUGAAGAGUGAGGUUAGGGACUUACAGUGGGGGAUCCAGAAGCGGAUGAUGAAACAUGAGGUUGUUGAGGAAAAAAGCUAGGAGACAUAGAGAGAGAAAACCAUAAAUACAAUUUUUCAUCAUAAAAUAUAAAAUUCAUUCAAAUAUAAUAAAAAAUUAUCGAUUUUCCAUAAAUAAAAAUUUGUGCCAAAAUAUUAUAAAAACCAUUUAUCAUAAAUAAAUAUUAUGAUUAAAUAUGACUUUUAACUAUGAAAAUAGAACUUAUGUCAAAAUUUUAUGAAAAUAAAUUUGCCCGAAAAUAUGAUGUGGUUAAUUAUGAUUUUUUACUGUGAAUAUAAACUUCAUCUAUAAAGUAAUCUUAUUGCCAUAAAAAAUAAAAAUCAUUGCAAAAUCAUUACAACAAAAUAUGAAAUUUGUUGUAGUUAAUGCAAAGUUGAGAAAAAUUGAAAAUAUGAUGUUUUUUCAUAGAUGGAAGGAUACUUAUUGACAAACCAUUUUUCCAUGACUUGCAAAGUUGUUUCUAAGGAUCUUUAUUAAUGUCGUAGAAUAUCACUAGGAAAAUUUAGUGUGAAACUUACCAAACAACUAGUUUGGCAACAAAUUCAUCAAUGCAUUUAUCUAAACUUCCACUUUCAUCAACUGCUUUUGUGGCCAAAUUCUUCAAUUUCAUAGCAUUGUUUUCAAUCUCUUUUAAUCUAUUACUUCUUAUCACUUGCCCUAUGCAAUGCUCCACGACUCUUCUUCUCACAAUCCCUUUGUUAUCGGCUUGAACCCUUAAUCCUAUCCCCCAAACAUCUUCAACAAACUCGGUGUUGGUGGGUUGAUUAGUCCAUAGAGGGGCAACCACCAUUGGAACUCCCAAGUUGAGUGCCUCCAACUUGGAGUUCUAACUGCCAUGGGUGAGGAAGCAUUCUAUUGCCCUGUGGACUAAAACAUCCAGUCAAGGACAACAUGACACCACAAACCCUUUUCCGCUAUCUCCUCUUUGAACUUUUGAGGCAAUUUGGUCUACUCAGAUUCCCUAACCACCAUCAAGAAGUAGGCAUUACUCCUCCUUAAACUCUAAGCUACUUCCUCCAUUUGCUUGGGUUCUAGCCUCACGAAGGUCCCAUAUGAGGCGUAAACAAUGGAUCCAUUGGGCUUGUUGUCUAGCCAUUCCAUGCAAGCACUUGUGACUAACUUGAGCAUGAUAAGGCUAUAGUCUUUGUCAUCUCCAAGUCGUUUAUUUAAGUAAGUAGAGAGAAUGAUUGGGUUGAUCGUCUUGAGCAGACAAAUCUUCGCCAUCCAAUCCACCACCUAGGAAUUCAAUGACAAACUUAGAUCAAUAAAAUAGUAUCAAAUGCUUAAUUUGACCCAAAAGAUUAAGAAUCCAUUUUAUAGUGAUUUUAUGAAGUGUUUGUAAAUUUUUUAGAUUUUUUAUCAAAAGAUUACUCGAGUGUUGUUGCAAAUGAAUGUAGCUAUUGUAAGCAAAAAGGUCACUUAAAAGGCUCAAUGUUUGAUGAUCCCCCUAGAACAAUACAACACUAGUCUUCUCAACAGUCUCAGUAGAGUCAGUUUAAUACUAGCCAAUAAUGUUUUUACAAGCUACCAUAGUUUAAUACCACAAUAGUUGUUCCUCCAUCUGACUUGUUUGGAUUUGGAUCCACAUUAUCCUCUAAUCCCAUUGUAGUUUCUGUUGUUGAACAAUUCCAGAAACUUCUCACCACUCAACCACAUUUUAUGUCUAUCUCUUCAGGUUUGCCAACCACUAGUUCUUUAGGUAUGUCUUCUUCCAUAUGGGUCUUAGACUCCAUAGCUUCUCAUCAUAUGUCUCCUAAUUCCUUAUCUUUUGUUUAUUUAUCUCCUAUAUCUUUUAUGUCUAUCAUGAUUGUUGAUGACACUCUUUUACCCUUAGCCAGUAUUGAUUUUGUUAUCAUACCUCAUUUGUCUAUUCCUCAUGUCUAUCAUAUUCCUAAUCUUACAUGGAAUCUUGUCUUUAUUGGUCAAUUAUGUGACUCUAGUUACUUAGUUUCUUUUUCUUCUACUUCUUGUUUUGUUCAAGAUCCUUAAUCCUAGAAGUUGAUUGGGACAGGUUGUAGGCAAAGGGGAUUGUAUAUUCUAAAUGAGCUAAAAGUCUUAAUAGUUGUAGCUCCUAGUCUUGAUUUGUCUUCUUUUCAUUUGAGUCAUUUUUCAUCUAGUUUUUAUUUUUGGCAUUCUCAUUUAAGACAUGUUUCGACUUCUCGUUUAAAGUAUUUAGUUUCUACAGGAGCAUUAGGAAAUUUGUAAACACAAGAUAUUUCUAAUUGUAAUGGAUGUAAACCGACAAAAUUUUCCGCCUUACCUUUUAAUAGAAGUGUUUCCUCUUCUUUCAUCUAAUUUGAUUUAGUUCAUUCAGAUGUGUGGGGACAUUCUCCAAUUUCUAAAAAAGAAGGGUCUCGAUAUUAUAUUUCCUUUAUUGAUGAUUAUAUUGAUUAUUGUUGGGUUCAUCUUACGAAAUACCACUAUAAUUUUCGGAAUAUUUAUAAUGCAUUUCAAGUUUAUGUCAAAACUCAACAUUCUAUUGUUAUCGAGUGCUUUAGGUGUGAUUUGGAUGGGGAAUAUACUUUCAAUGCAUUUUGUGAAUUACUUGUUUCACAUGGAACUAUUCACCACACGUCUUGUAUUGACCCAAGUUUGAGAUUACAAGCUAUAUUUGUGACAUGUGGAGUUCCAUUAUAGAUUGUCCUACGUGGAUUUUUUGUGUGUGGUGGAAAAUACUAAAUAACAUCAAGGAAAAGAAUGUAGUUUUCACUUUUUCUCCAACGGGAAUGAGAAUGGGGUGGUUUGGGGUUAAGCCUUCCCAUCAAUCAUUUAUCUAUAUCUGUUUUCAUGUUUAUUAAAAAAAAAAAUUAAUUGGAUGGUACAAAUAUAAAAAAUUCUCAUACUCAUCCAUCAUUUUUUACUUUUAAAAUUUUAAAUUAUAUUAAAAAUAAAUAUAAUUUAUAAAUAAAUAGAUAUUAUAAAUUUUUAUAAUGUAUUUAUAUGAAAAGUAAAAUAUUAUAUAUAUAUAUAUAUAUAUAUAUAUAUAUAUAUAUAUUAAAAAGAUUGAAAAUUAAAACAAAUAAAUUAAAAUAAUUUUUAUCUAAUAUCUAGAUAAUAUUAUAUAUAAUCUAGAUGGAAUGGAACAAAAUCAUAUGGGCACCUAAUUUUUAAAAAAAUUCUAAAUUCAUUUAUAUUUAUUCAAAACUUAUCCUAUUAAUGUCAUGUGUUAGAGUCUUGAAAAAAAAAAAUGUUAAUUCUUGAUUAUUUUUAUGGUUCAAGUUAGUUGGAUUUGAAGGUUAACCUCUAAAACUCCUCUAUCAAUUCUAAUGUGUGUCAAAUCUAACAAAUGGUUGAAAUAAAGUGAAGUUUUCAAGUUUAAAAGAAAAUUUCCAAAGAAAGCUCAAGCACUAAGGAAAUACUCCAAAACAUGAAGUUUUGGAUCCCUUGAAGACUCAAGUAUUUAGAAAAAUAUUAUAAGAUGGUUUCCAUUGGUGCACUUAGGAUUAAACUCUUUAUUCAUGCACUUCAAAAAGCCUUUACAUCAUCCCUACCUAAGCUUCAAAAGGUUUUUAUCUUCAAAAUGGAGGAAUUUGUUUCUUAUUUCAAAACCUUAGGCUAAAUUCUUUUAGAAACCUACAAAUGUUUUAAAAUGAAUUGCUCAAGCUAUUGGAAAAUUAGGAGUGAGUUUGGAAGCUUUUUGGGCUAGUUUUUGCCCAAUCGCUCAACUCUGCUCAAAAACUUUUUUUCUCUUCCAGAAGCUUGAUGACACCAAUAAAGCCUUUGGUUUUCCUGAUUGAGGUUUGGUUAAGGGCUGGUCAAACUUUUAAAGAACCAAUAGUCACCUAUUGUGUAUUAAAUGUGUCAAUGACUAGUCAACUGGUCAAACUAGAACUUAGCUGUCAAGAGCAAAUUUUGUUGUUUCAGGUGUCUAAUAUUAUUUUCUAUAAAUUGAAAAGCAUCAUUGCAUUUAAUGAGAAAAUGCCACUUGUAUUUAAUUGUUUGCUACUCAUUUUAUCUCUUUCAAAAGUUCUUCAUUGAAGUGCAUUGAAUCCAAACUUGCAAAUCCUUUAGUGUACAAUUGAAUUCCAUCAUAGUAUAGUUUUGUAUUGUGAGCCAUCUUUAUAUUAGGAUUGUAAGCUGUCGAGUUGUAAAUUGGUUGUAAUUGAGUUGUAAAUAGAAUGGGAAAAUUAUUUUAAAAUCCCUUGAAUUGAAGGAUUAAGUUAGAUAGUUUUUUUAUUUAGGAAUAAGUUAGUUUCUUAUUAUGUCUCUUGUUUCCUAUUUCUUCUCUUAUAAUCUCCUAUAUAAAUUGUGUGUAUAGUCAAUCUAAAAUACAAAACUUAUUAUUUUUCAUCCCAUAUUUCGUGUCAUGGCAUCAGAGUAGUAGGUUUUUAAAAUCUCAACAUCAUUCUAGCCUUCAUCGCCAUUUUUCUAGCCUUCAUAACUGGAUUUUUUUUUUAUUCACGUUUCCUUUCUCUGCUUUGUUUUGCAAUAUUUUUUGAAGGCAAAACAGAGUAUUUCACAUGUUCUUUUACCAGCCUUCAUUGCUGUUGGUUUUUUGUUUCACAAUUUGUUUUAAUUCCCAAGAGAUUAGGUUUUUCGUGGAAGAUGCCGAAGGUUGCAGAGACGACUACUACAACACAAUUGGAGGAGAUUGUUCGAUCUCAACAACCCAGGGAAUUGCAAAACAUUCAGGCUGCAUAUAGGCUAGAUGGAAAAAAUUACUUUAAAUGGUCUCAACUUGUUCGCACUAUGCUGAAAGAGAAAUGAAAGAUCAACCAUCUUAUGGGUACAAGGCCAAAACCAGGAAAUCCCCGUUUUGAAGCAUGGGAUGAAGAAGAUUCUAUGAUUAUGACAUGGCUGUGGAAUUCUAUGAAUCCUAAGAUUAGCGACACAUGUAUGUUCUUGGCUACAACUAAGGAUAUUUGGGACACAAUCCAACAAACGUAUUCAAAAGCUAGAGAUACGACUCAAGUAUAUGAGGUUAAGGUGAAGACAAUUGCUGCAAAAUAGGGAAGUAAAACAGUUACUGAAUAUGCCAAUCAAUUGAAAGCUUUGUGGCAAGAACUUGAUCAUUAUAGGAUGAUAAAAACCAAAUGUCCUGAGAAUGCCACUGUUCUAAAGGAUUUCAUUGAACAAAAUAGAGUUUAUGAUUUUCUUGUUGGGCUUAACCUAGAAUUUGAUCAAGUGAGAAUCCAGAUUCUUGGCAAGCAAGAGGUUUCAUGAUUUAAUGAGGUGGUGGCACUGAUUCGAGGCGAGGAAAGCCGAAUGAGUGUUAUGCUUGAACCACAAACCUUGGAUGGAUCAGCCUUAGUUGCAAAAAAAAAAAAAAAAAAUUUAGAGUAAGGAAAGAAUGAUCUGCCUAAACACUUAGGUUUAGACAAUCAAUGGAAGGAGAACAAGGACAAUCUAUGAUGCACCUAUUGCAAGAAACCAAGGCACACAAAAGAGAAGUGUUGGAAGCUGAACGGUAAGCCACCAAGUUGUGAAUAGGGAAACCGUGGAAGGCAGCAAAUGCCUUAAUCACACAUGGCAGAGCAACCCAAAACUGAGGAAAAUUCAGUAACAGGCGGGUUCAAUAGUGAAGAAAUGGAGAAGCUGAGAAGCUUGUUGGGAUCCUUUAACAAAUCUACUAAAACUUGUUCUUUGGCUCUUUCAGGUACGCCUUCAUUCUCUUUUUGCAUAAAUGCCUCACACAGGGUUUAUGAUGACUCUUGGAUAAUAGACUUCGAUACCACAAACCAUAUGACCUCCAAAUCUCAACUUUUCCAUACCUAUUCCCCAAGCCCAAGUAACAAGAAAAUUGCAGUGGCCAAUAGCUCUUUAGCUACCGUUGCAAGUUUCAGAGACAUAUACAUCACACCUAUCCUUAUUGUUAAAAAUGUCCUCCAUGUACCAAAAUUGUAGGCCAACCUUGUUUUCAUUCAAAAGGUUACUCAUGAUCUUAAAUGUUAUACUAUUUUUUUCCCUUCUUAUUGUGUUUUUCAAGAAUAAAGCUCGAGGAGGAGGAUUGGACUUGCUAAGGAAAGGAGCGGUCUUUACCACCUUGAAUCAUCUCAGAAAACUAGUAAUAAUUUGUCGUUGUCUUUUAUCAGUUCCUCAAAUAAAGAUACCAUUUGGUUGUAUCACUUACGUCUAGGUCAUCCAUUUUUUAGGGUUUUAAAUGUCAUGUUUCCUCAUUUGUUCCAAGGAUUAAAUAUUUCUAAGUUUCAUUGCAAAACUUGUGAAUUGGAAAAACAUUCUCGUGUAUCUUUUCCUAUUAGCAAUAAAAGAAGUUCUCAUCAUUUUCAUUUGAUUCAUAAUGACAUAUGGGGUCCUUCAACUGUACCUAGUGUUUUUAGGGCUCGUUGGUUUGUAUCCUUAAUUGAUGACUGGGGUUACAUGGAUCUUUCUUCUUAAACAAAAAUAUGAUGUUAGCAUUGUUAUACCUAAUUUUCACUCAAUGGUUCAAAACCAAUUUGGGGUCAAAAUAAAAAGCUUUAAGACAGACAAUACUAGAAAUUACUUCAACCAGAUUUUGUCACCCUAUUUUCAAUCAUAGGUCAUUCUCCAUGACUCAUCAUGUGUUAACAUAUCCCAACAAAAUGGGGUAGCCGAGAGGAAAAAUGGGCAUUUACUCAACACAACUCAAGCCUUACUCUUUCAAGGGAAUGUUCCUAAGUCCUAUUGGGGGGAAGUUGUUCUUACUGCCACAUACAUGAUAAAUAGAAUUCUCUCACGAGUGUUAGACAACAAAAGCCCCGUAUAGAUACUUAAGAGUUUCUAUCCACACUUCAUAACCUCAAAUGGGCUUACUCCUAGGGCAUUUGGGUGCACUACAUUUGUUCAUGUCCAUAGCCAACAUAGAGACAAGCUAGACCCUCGAGCCAUAAAAUGUGUCUUCCUUGGUUACUCAUCCACUCAAAAAGGAUACAAGUGUUACAAUCCCUCAGCUAGAAAAUUAUACAUCUCUAUAGAUGUCACCUUCACAAAAAAUAAACAUUUUUUCUCCAAGUCCUCUCUUCAAGGGGAGAUUUCAAUAAUGGAAUAUAGUCCUUGUGAGUCCUUUGAACCUCUUGACCUUCCUCAUGUCUCAACCCAUGGUGAUGAAAAACCUGAGUCACCCAAUUUUCCCACUAAAUCUGUGUCAUCCCCUGUUCCAGCCAAUGUCACUCGCAAUUUUCCACAAUUUCCUAAGAUGUAUUCAAGGGAAAAGGUCAUUCCAGAACAAAAGUAGGUCCAAGAAUCCAACUUAGACCCUAGGAAUGAAAUCACGGUAAGAUCAGAUCCAUCUUUACAUACACAACCUGGUGAAACUUCCACUGACUCAACAGAUAACCUAAACCUAAACCUUCCCAUUGUUGUCAGAAAAUGCACCGGAGAAUGCACUAACUGACCACUCUAUCCACUAUCACACUAUGUGUCUCUUAAGCACCUAUCACCAGCCCAUAAGAAUUUCAUUGUGAGUCUAAACACCACUAUCAUCCCUAACAUUGUUUCUGAGGCAUUGACAAAAAAAUAAUGGAAGGAUGCUAUGAGAGAGGAUAUGAGUGCAUUAGAAAAUAAUAAAACAUGAGAGUGUGUUGAAAGACUAAAAGGGAAAAAAACAUUGUUGAUUGCAAGAUUUUCAUGUUGAAAUAUAAGGCUGAUGGAUAUCUUGAGAGACAUAAAGCAAGAUUGGUAACUAAAAGGUACACUCAAACUUAUGGAGUUGAUUAUUAGGAGACUUUUGCUCCAGUUGUAAAAAUGAAUAUUGUAAGAAUCCUAUUAUCACUGGUUGCCCACUACAAUUGACAACUCCUACAGUAUGAUGUUAAGAAUGCAUUUCUUCAUGUUGAUUUAGAUGAAGAGAUUUACAUGAACAUCCCACCGGGAUUUGAGGAAAACAUAGGUAACAAGGUGUGCAAGCUGGAAAAGGCCCUUUAUGAGCUAAAAUAAUAUCCUAGAGUUUGGUUUGGGAGAUUUGAAAAAGUCAUGAAAGAGUCUGGGUACAAACAAAGCCAAGAUGACCACACUCUCUUCAUUAAGCACUUGGCUGCAGGGGGAAUAACUGCUCUUCUAGUCCAUGUUGACGACAUCAUAGUGACUGGAAAUGAUGAGAGAGAAAAGUAUGAAGUGAAACAAAGAUUAGUAACAGAGUUAAAGAUAAAGGAAUUAGGGAAAUUGAAGUACUUCCUCGGGAUUGAGGUGACAUAUUCCACACAAGGGAUCUUCAUCUCUCAACAAAAGUAUAUGACUGAUUUAUUGACAGAAGUAGAGAAGAUUGGGUGUAAACUAGUCUCUACCCCAAUGGAUCCAAACCACAAUUUAGGAGAAGCUCAAGAAGAACCAGUGAUGGAUAAAAGAAUGUACCAGAGGCUGGUUGGUAGGCUCAUAUACCUUGCUCACACUCAGCCAGACAUCGCCUACUCGGUGAGCGUGAUCAGUUAAUUUAUGCAUGAUCUAAGAUAACCUCAUCUUCAAGCUGCUUAUAGGGUGCUGCAUUACUUGAAAGAUAACCCAAGAAAGGAAUUUUGUUCAAGAAGAACAAUACUCUUGCUUUAGAAGCAUACACCGACGCUGACUAUGUAGAUUCCCUAGUGGAUCGAAGAUCAACUAUAGGGUAUUGUACUUUUCUUGGAGGUAAUCUAGUAACAUUGAGAAGUAAAAAGCAGAAUGUGGUAGCAAGGUCAUCUGCAGAAUUAGAGUUUAAGGCCAUUGCUCAAGGAUUGUGUGAAAUACUUUGGCUAAAGAUUAUUUUAGAUGAUUUGAGAAUCAAGUAGGAUGGUCCUAUGAAGCUCUAUUGUGACAACAAGUCAGCUAUCAAUAUUGCUCAUAACCCUAUACAACACGAUAGGAUAAAACAUAUUGAGAUUGAUAGGCAUUUCAUCAAAGAAAAAUUAGAGGAAGGAGUAGUGUGUAUGUCCUAUGCUCCAUCAGAAUAUCAAUUAGUUGAUAUCUUAACAAAAUGGCUGAACAGUUCAACGUUUCACGAUCUUGUAUUCAAGCUAGGAAUGGAAGACAUAUAUUCCUCAGCUUGAGGAGGAGUGUCGAGCUAUAAAUAGGUUGUAAUUGAACUGUAAAUAGAAUAGAAGAAUUAUUUUUAAAUCCCUUAAAUUGAGGGAUUCAGUUAGAUAGUUUUCUGAUUUAGGAAUAAGUUAGUUUCCUAUUAUGUCUCUUGUUUCCUAUUUCUUCUAUUGUAAUAUCCUACAUAAAUUGUGUGUAUAAUCAAUCUAAAAUACAUAACUAAUUAUUUUUCAUUCCAUAUUUCGUGUCAUAAGCAUUAAAAAUACUUCUACCAAUUUAUUCUUGAGUGAGAUAGACUUUAAGUUGGUGAAGAACUUCAAGGAAGUGUAGUGCCCAUUAGAGCUAUGAAUCUAAGUGAACAUGAUUAAAGAUUUGGUUUUGAAGCCUUAGUUAGUAAAUCCCUCACUUAGAAAAAGAUUAAGGAGAGUGAAUGUAGGCAGGAUUGUUGAACCACAAUAAAUCCAUUUGCAUCUUUCUUCCUUUAAUUCUUUAUUUAUUUGCUUUAAUUGUUGCUUGUUUACUGUUUUAGUUUUUCAAUUUUGAAAAGUUUUUAAUAACCCAAUUCACCCCACCCCCACCCCCUUCCUUUUAGGUGUUUGAAUGAAUUAGUUAGCCUUAUUGUAUAAUAGUUUAACUUAAAAUUUACUUCAUCCAUUUUUUUUUCAAUUGUCAUGAAGCUCAUGUUGGUCAUGAAAAAACUUAUGUCGAAUAGGGUAACACCAAAGGUGGUUAAAUGGGUGACCUUUUAAAGAUUAUAAUAUAAUGAUUAACAAACUUAACCUAAAUAAGUUUUGUGAGAUGAAUUUAUCCUAUUUUAAAUUGACCUAAUCUUGUGAGAUAAUAUGAAAAAUCAAUACAAAUACAAUCACAUAAUGGACAAAGGAUUUUUACGUGGAAAACCCACACACUAAUUGUGGAAAUAAAAAACUAUAAGGUCUAAGACCUCUAAUUCACUAAUCCACUAUAUAAGAACAAGGUAAAUAGAUUUGUUUGGCAGCAUUACCCUAAAGACUUACUCUUCAACACUUAUACCUUAACCCAUAUCUGUGACGCAACACCUCUAAUGCUUCAAUGGAUUUACCUCAGCCUCUGAGAGGAUGUAGGUCCUUAGCAACCCAAAAUUCAAAGUGAUAAAUCCUUGUUGAGAGUUUGGGAAUGUUAAGGCAAGUUGGGUUGAUUAUCUCAAAAUGUCCAACCCUAAAAUGGGUUUAUAUAGGUUCUUAGACCUAAGGAAUUGAUAACUAGAAUUUUUCCUAAAAGAAUAAUUGUGAAAGUCCAUAAAAGAAAUCUACCAAAUUCUAGUAGAUUCAGAAGGGCCACUCAAGCUCAUUUAACCAUUGCUCGAGCGCCUUAAGCACUUGAGUGGUGCCACUGUUUGAGUGUCCUUUGUUUUUCCAGAACAAGAAUGAAUGCAUUUUAGUUUUUAAAAAAAUAAUGAAUCCACUCUAAGCCUCAAGCACCUUACUUGCCACUAAACAAACCUUUUUAAACUUACCUAUAACUUUCUGAUUGAGCAAUCAACAACCUGAAAUCUUCAGUUGAGAGUAAGUCACUAUCUAAAAACUUUCCUAUGUCAAGAUGAAUAGAAACAAAAUCGCCAACAAACAAGGUACAUGACUCAAUAUCCUAACAAGUCACUCCAUCUUCAUAUUCCUCUUUGGUUGAUUCUUCACUAUCAUAUAAAUUUGGGGGAAUGAUCUUGGAUUUUCUUGGAAAGAGAAUCCAUUGUAAUCAAUUGUUGAUUUGUUGAUUUGUUUUCUCUAUUUUAAUCAAUUGUUUCUAAUUUCUUUUAUUCAAUAAUGGUCUUUUAUUCUUCUUUUAUUGUUUAUGUGAAUGAAAUCACGACCAUGAGGAGCUAAAAAACUAUCUUAGGGCAUGAAACAUGAAAACCUAGGGUUAGAGCCAAAGGAAAAUAAUGGGUAAAAUCGAACUAAAAAUUAAAUGAAUUAUGGAUUGAGACAUUAUAGUUGAAAACAGAAAUAUCCUUUAAUGUUUGUUUGAAUUAGAGAAUGAUACAAUAACUCAUUUUUUGAUACUAGGGAGUUUUGGUAAUUCUUGAUCCCUAGUUAUUUGAGGUUUUGCUAUUAUUAUCUACCCUAAGACAAAUCUAUAUAAAGUGGUAAAUGCCCAAAUCCUAUACCUAAACUCAAUUUUCAUACCCAUUUAUCUAUUUGGUAUUUCAAUAAUAGAAUAAAAUAUUAAAAGUUAUGAUACAGAUGCAACCCUGAGUUAUGGAACUCAAGUUGAUCUUGUUUGACUCCACAUUCUGAAUACCCUAAGGUUAACUAAAAUUGAUACCCUUGUUUUGCCUGAGACCCUAUACCCAAAGUUGGAUUGUAGAACCCCUAGUCUUGAAUCAUUUGAAUUAGAAAUUAAUAUUUUUAUUUUUUACAAUUUAAUUAGAUAUAUUUUAAUAGAUUCAAUUUUAUUCAAAUUAAUUUUACACAUUCUUAGUUCAAGAAAUCAAGUAAAAAACAAUCAUUUAGAUAUAGUUUGACAACUUUCAUAGGUCAAUCCUUUAGAACGAUACCCGAAAUACUACAAAAGUCAUAAUGACUCUUUCUCUAGAUUUUCUUGGCUAUGGUUGCUAUAUAAUCUAGGCAUAGUAUUUUGGACAACAGAGAAUCAUGGUCACUAUUACACUUAGACUUUUAAUCCUAAGGAACCUUUAACAAAACUCAAGAAAUGUCUCACUCUUAAAUGAUCCUUCAUUGAUACCUUACCCUUAAGAUAACCCUUCAAGUGAUUCCACACAUUUGAUAAUCCCUAUGUGAUGCCUCACACAUAGAGUUUUCCAUUAAGUGACAUCUCAUAGUUAAGAUCACCCUCAUAAGGUUAAAAGAAUUUGAUUUAUUUUUUUGAAAAAGAUAAGGCACCUAAUUACAACAUUUUGACUCAAGGAUACAAAUGAAACUAGGAUCAAAAUAAUUAAAAUAAAUAAGUUUAAGAACAAAGUGCAAUCAAAAUACUUGCAAAGGGUUAAAGGAUUUUUCAACAAAUGUUUAGAACAUUCUCCCAUUAACCUGUCGGCCGACUAGUUUAGGCUUUGCCUUAACUGGUAGAUAUUGCCAAGAAUAUUAGAGUUCAAAAUCCCUUGACUAAUCAACUUAUAGGGUGAUUUGUUGACCCAAUUUUUAAGAUUUUGUGAAAAACUAUCUCCCAUCUUAGUCAAUGGCUCCCCACAGGGUUUUUUUUUCUUGUAAUUGAGGUGUAAGGCAAGGUUUGGAACCGUCUCUUAUUCUGCCUUGCUGAAGAAGUGCUCAAGGAUUGACUACCCUUUACAACAUAGGAAGUCUUAAGCCUACUUCAAUUCCAAGAAGGUGUUCCCUUACAUAAUAUACUAAUGACACUUUUAUCUUUUGUAGGGAGAAAUUCUACAACUUUGACCAACCUUAAUAAUUUUUUAGAGUUGUAUGGUUAAUAGUUGGGUCAGAUUGUCAAUAAAGAAAAAACUUUAUUUUUGCUCAAAAACAUUAGAAAAAACUAACUAAAUAAACUCCUUAUGAUUUUGAAAACCUUUUAAACAUUCAUUAUAUAAAUCAAAGGUGGUUUUCAAUUAAGAAAACAUUUUAUCCAAUUUUGAAAAGAUUAAGGACAAGUUUGAGUUCAAUUAGAUGAGUUUUGGUGCUUUAAAUAAAUAAUAUGCAAUUCUAAUUUGGUGUACUCAUAAUUUUACAUUAAAAUAACCUAAAAAUGAUCUUGGUAAACCUUCUUGAAGUACCCUUUGAUCUCCUUAAUUUUUUGAUAAGAAUUUUGUAUUGAUUUCCUCUUUUGCUCCAUAUAUCUUUUCUUUCAUUGCUCUAAGGAAAUCUUCUUAGCUGUCACACUCAAAAUUAAGUAUUAGAUCAAAUCUUUGUUUUAAACUUCAGUCUAACAAUAAAGGCUUGUUCGAAAAAUGCAUUUUUUUUUUCAUUUUUCUAGUUUCAAGGUCGUUAUUAAUAAUCUUGUGUUUGAUUGAAUUUAAUUGGAAGAUUGAUCACUUGAUCACAAAUUAUUAAUAUGCCAAACCGUCUAUUGUUUACAAAAAUAAAUCAAAAAUAAAAAUAGGUCAAUAAUAUAUAUUAAAUUAUGCAAAAAUUAAAACUACUCAUUUAUGUUUCAUGAAAGAAAAAAUGUUUUUAAGUAAUUCAAGUUCAUUGUUAGAUAUGUAUACUUUAUUUUUAUUUAUUUCAGGUAUAUCAAUACAAUAAUUUCUUGAUUACAAGCAUUUCAUUAAAAGAAUGCAGUAAUUUUGAUCGUAGUUUAGUUUCUUAUAGUAAAAAAAGAAAAAAUAUUAGAAUUUUUUUUAUAAAAAUUUAAGAUCAUGACACAUGUUCACAACAUACUUUUUUUAUACUCCACACCAACUUAUUCCAAAUAAGUCUUAAUCUCAAUGAUAAUAAUAAUGAUUCAAUCUUAAUCAUUACAUAAAAAUAAUGCUAUUAUUAAUUCAAUCUUAAUUGGUAAAUAAAAUAUAGAAGAUAAAUGUUGCAAUAUUGGUAUUGUUGUGCAUGUUCAUUUCUUAUUGAAAAAGAAUGAGAGAUGGCACCAAAUAUUCAAGUACUACUACCCCAACAACAUAAUUGGCUCCACCAUCCAAAUCAUUUAUUUUAUUUAUUUGUUUUUGGAUAGAAUCAACUUGAAUGUGUUGAUAUAUGUCCUUUUCACUUUGGCUCCUCCUCUUAAUGGUUUUAUAUUUUAUGUCAAUUCAGAAAGCUCUCUCUCUCUCUCUCUCUCUCUCUCUCUCUCUCUCUCUCUCUCGCUCGCUUUAGGAAAGUAUGAGUAAAGUUGGUUGGGAAGAGUUUUUCAAAAGCUAAAAGCUAAAUGAGUAGUAUUCAAUUCAAUUAUUAGUCUAAAAAUUUAAAAUUUAAAUUUUUAUAAGUUCUUUUAUUAGGAUGCUAACAAUAAAUUAAUUUAAGAAUUUCUGAUUACAUAAAUAGACAAAUAAUUUACACGAAAAACCAUUCAUAAAAUCUCUUAAAAACCUUACAAAUGUAUAACCAUAUGAUUGAAUAAAUAUUUAGAUUUAUCUAAACACUCGCAUAUUCUCCCUAAACUUACACUUUCAAAACCUUUAUUAAUCUUCAUGCCCGUGAUAUAGUAUUUUAACGUUUCUUAAUAUACUUCUCAAUGCUUUGAGAGGAUGUAAUCUACCACCAUGAAUUUAACUUAAUGAAUAAAAAUUAAUGUUUUUGGGAAUCUUAGUAAAAUUGAAAUAAGAGAAAAUUAAUAAUAUGGCUUCUCUUGUCCAAAUUUUUGGUGAUAACUGAACAUUUAUAACCACAAUUUUCCCAGAAAGUAAGAGAAAAUUAAUGUGCAUGGGUCGGGAUGCAAACUUGACAGAAAUUGUUUCUAAGAAUCUUUAUUGUGGUAGAAUAUCACUAGGAAAAUUCAGAGUGAAAGUUACCAUGCAACUAGUUUAGCCACAAACUCGUCAAUGCAUUUAUCUGAACUUCCACCUUCAUCAACUGCUUCCCUGGCCAAAUUCUUCCAUUUCAUGGCAUUACUUCUAAUCCCUUUUAAUCUAUCACUUCCCAUCACUUCCCCUAUGCAAUGCUCCAGGACUUCUCUUCUCACAAUCCCCUUGUCGUCCGCUCAAGCUCUUAAUCCUAUCCCCCAAACAUCUUCAACAAACUUGGCGUUGGUGGGUUGAUCAGUAAAUAGAGGGGCAACCACCAUUGGAACUCCCAGGCUGAGUGCCUCCAGAGUGGAGUUCCAACCGCCAUGGGUGAGGAAGCAUCCUAUCGCCCUGUGUGCCAAAACCUCCAAUUGUUGACACCAUGACACCACCAGGCCCUUUUCCUCUGUCUCCUCCUUGAAGUUUUGAGGCAGUUUGGCC
rnacentral:lncRNA from 1 species